CAGACACACAUAGAUACACACACACACACACACACACACAUUUUGUUGUUUCACUCUUCCUUUGGAGAACCCAAUGUGUACAUUAGGCUCUAAUGUACACCCAUCUUCUUAAUACAUUGGGAUUCACCCUCCUCUAUCUCAUUUAUCUUUCCUCUUUCCUACUUGCUUCUUCCAGGCUCUGCAGAAGUCUUUGGACUAGUGACUGGCCUCGAGAAGACAAAUUCCUCUGCCACAGACUGAGACCAUUUUCCUUGAAAGAAGGGGACAUAAGAGUUAGUUGCAAGGAGUCAUUUAGCACUUCCAUGGGGAGAUCCUGGAAGACAUGGAUUUGAAUUUUGUCUUCAGUGUGUGAGUGUUUGAGCUGGGGUGCCUCCUAAUGACCUGGACAAUAAUCCUACUUUGCUUCGUGACUACUGACUGAUGCCACAUGGAUAAGAGCUCUUACGAACAAGUCCUAGUGUGUGUGUGUCAGGACAGAGAAGAAAAAAAGCUAAACUCAGGCCAGAGCUGAGGACUAGGCUCCAAGUUUACACAUGUGUGGGAC